rnacentral:rRNA from 1 species
AGGAUGAACGCUGGCGGCGUGCCUAACACAUGCAAGUCGAACGUCCUGUCUCGCAAGAGGCAGGGAGUGGCGGACGGGUGAGUACCACGUGGGUCAUCUACCGUGAGGUGAGGAAUACCGGCGAGAAAUCGCCGACAAGACCGCAUAGGCUCGAUGCAAGUCGAGCAAAGCUCUUUCGAGAGAGGGAGCGCCACACGAGGAGCCUGCGCCCGAUUAGCUAGCUGGUGGAGUAACGGUUCACCAGGGCGACGAUCGGUAGCUGGUCUGAGAGGACGAUCAGCCACACUGGGAUUGAGAACGGCCCAGACUCCUACGGGGGGCAGCAGUGAGGAAUUUCGUCAAUGGGGGCAACCCUGAACGAGCAACGCCGCGUGCAGGAAGAAGGUUUUCGGAUCGUAAACUGCCUUUCUCGGGGAAGAGAACGGACGGUACCCGAGGAAUCAGCCCCGGCUAACUACGUGCCAGCAGCCGCGGU